GACGAACGCUGGCGGCGUGCUUAACACAUGCAAGUCGAACGGAAAGGCCCUGCUUUUGUGGGGUGCUCGAGUGGCGAACGGGUGAGUAACACGUGAGUAACCUGCCCUAGACUUUGGGAUAACUUCAGGAAACUGGGGCUAAUACCGGAUAGGAGCUCCUGCUGCAGGGAGGGGGUUGGAAAGUUUCGGCGGUUGGGGAUGGACUCGCGGCUUAUCAGCUUGUUGGUGGGGUAGUGGCGUACCAAGGCUUUGACGGGUAGCCGGCCUGAGAGGGUGACCGGCCACAUUGGGACUGAGAUACGGCCCAGACUCCUACGUGAGGCAGCAGUGGGGAAUAUUGCACAGUGGGCGGAAGCCUGAUGCAGCAACGCCGCGUGCGGGAUGACGGCCUUCGGGUUGUAAACCGCUUUCGCCUGUGACGAAGCGUGAGUGACGGUAAUGGGUAAAGAAGCACCGGCUAACUACGUG
rnacentral:rRNA from 1 species